GUAGGUGAACCUGCGGAAGGAUCAUUAUCGUAGGGCUUCGGCCCUGUCGAGAUAGAACCCUUGCCUUUUUAAGUACCUUCUGUUUCCUCGGCAGGCUCGCCUGCCAAUGGGGACCACAAAAAACACUUUGCAGUACCUGUAAUAGUCUGAAAAACAAACAAAAAUUAAAACUUUCAACAACGGAUCUCUUGGUUCUG
rnacentral:misc_RNA from 1 species